GAUGAAGAACGCAGCGAAAUGCGAUAAGUAAUGUGAAUUGCAGAAUUUAGUGAAUCAUCGAAUCUUUGAACGCAUAUUGCGCCCGCCAGCACUCUGGCGGGCAUGCCUGUUCGAGCGUCAUUUCAACCCUCAGGCCUCGAGUCUGGCGUUGGGGCGCUGCGGCCCUCCCGCAGGCCCCCAAAUUUAGCGGCGGAUUCCCCGCGGCCCUGAGCGCAGUAGAGAGUAAAAACUUUAACGCUCCGGCGGCCGUGGCGCGGUUCUGCCUCUUUCCCAAUAGCGCCAAUAGCGCCACCCCCAAAAAAGUUGACCUCGGAUCAGGUAGGACUACCCGCUGAACUUAAGCAUAUCAAUAAGCGGAGGA
rnacentral:misc_RNA from 1 species